rnacentral:rRNA from 1 species
GAUGAACGCUAGCUACAGGCUUAACACAUGCAAGUCGAGGGGAAACGAUAGAGAAAGCUUGCUUUUCUAGGCGUCGACCGGCGCACGGGUGAGUAACGCGUAUCCAACCUGCCCACCACUUGGGGAUAACCUUGCGAAAGUAAGACUAAUACCCAAUGACGUCUCUAGAAGACAUCUGAAAGAGAUUAAAGAUUUAUCGGUGAUGGAUGGGGAUGCGUCUGAUUAGCUUGUUGGCGGGGUAACGGCCCACCAAGGCGACGAUCAGUAGGGGUUCUGAGAGGAAGGUCCCCCACAUUGGAACUGAGACACGGUCCAAACUCCUACGGGAGGCAGCAGUGAGGAAUAUUGGUCAAUGGGCGAGAGCCUGAACCAGCCAAGUAGCGUGCAGGAUGACGGCCCUAUGGGUUGUAAACUGCUUUUAUAAGGGAAUAAAGUGGGAGUCGUGAGACUUUUUGCAUGUACCUUAUGAAUAAGGACCGGCUAAUUCCGUG